UGAUAACGGGGUUUCUCCCACAGCAGGGCUUUAGAAAGGACGGAGAAAUCUGGACCAGUAACUUAUUUCAAAAACAUAAUAAUAAAGAAGAAGGAGGAGGAGGAGAAAAAGAACUUUUAGAAUGUCCUUGCAGAGCAAACAUGAAGGACAACCUUUCUCUCCACCUCAGACAUUCAGCAAAACACCAGAGACAGUCUGUCUUGUCUGGAGGAGACUGGCAGCAUCUGCAUGGACACACUACCACGGAGGUUAUCUGGAACUGCUGGCCUGCCAUCUUCCUCAUCAUCCCAGGGGAACUUUUGUUAUUUUCACCUUUCGGGAUGGCAUGGAUAUUUUACGUCCACCAGGCUUCUCCCAGGGUUUGGAGCUUGCAGAGAUUUCUAGAUGGUGGCCUG